rnacentral:rRNA from 1 species
ACACCAAGCAACAGCCACACCCCCACGGGUAAACAGCAGUAAUUAAUAUUAGGCUAUAAGUCCAUUAACUUGACCUAGUAAGAUGGUUCCGGGCCGGUUAAUCUCGUGCCAGCGACCGCGGUUACACGACAGACCCAAGAUAAUAGUACCGGCGUAAAGAACGACUAGAACAAUAUCCUAAAUGGGAAUAGAAACCAAACUGGGCUGUAAAAAGCCAUAAGUUAUACUAACACACCCAUAAAAUACAAUUUCAACUCGUGAAAACAGGAAUACAAACUAAGAUUAGAUACCUUACUAUGCCUAACCUAACAUACAAUUAAAAUACUAAUUGUUCGCCAAAUAACUACGAGUAAAAACUUAAAAUUUAAAAGACUUGACGGUACUUCACACCACCCUAGAGGAGCCUGUCCAAUAACCGAUACUCCACGAUUAACCCAACCCACUCUAGCCUAACCAGUCUAUAUACCGCCAUCGCCAGCUCACCUUGUAAAAGAAACACAGCGAGCAUAAAAACCCAUCACCGCUAACACGAUAGGUCGAGGUGUAACUAAUGAGUGGGAUAAGAUGGGCUACAUUUUCUAACACAGAAAACACGAACCAACUACGAAAAUAGAAACAGAAGGAGGAUUUAGCAGUAUGUUGAGGACAAAACGCUCAACAGAAAUAAACGCAAUGAAGUGCGUACACACCGCCCGUCAUCCCUGCCAAUACUAUAUUAAUCUUUAUAAACAAAUAAUACCACUAAACAGGGCAAGUCGUAACAUGGUAAG